UCAUUUGGUAGUUUGUUUGGAAGUUGAUUGUGUUCUUGUUGUCAUAAAUUGUGAGAUGCCAAAUGAUAGAUUUAAAGGUUGGGGUUGAGGCAAAGACUAGAACCCUCAAAUCCAACCCUUAAAGCAGUUUACGGGUUGAGUUUGAGGGUUCUAGUAUUUGCCCCUGUUUUUCAACCCUUAAAAGUGUCAAAAAAUGACACUUCUCAACCCUUAAAAGUGCUUUGAGGAUUUGAGGGUUUGAGGGUUCUACUAGUAAUGCUCUAAUAUGAUAAUACAUGUCUUGUAGCAUCUCAGCCAUCCCCAAUAGGAGUGUUUGGUUCACUUGCUCGUGUUGUUGUCCCUUGCCAGUAUGGCCAUUGCCUGCUACUUCAUCCACAUCAAGAACACCAGGUUCACGUCAGCUGGAAAACAUCAUCAUCAUUAGGCCCUGCAAAAUCAAAUCAAUAGAUCACCACCGGCAAGAGUCAUUUCAGUCGGUACUGAUGGGUAAUGGCAUCAACGGAAAGAGCUCAAACUAAUCAAAACAAUCAAAUGGGCCAGGGAAAAUCAAAAUAAUCAACUGCCCCUGGCGAUUAUCAUGGUGGUCGUCUCUAUCGAUGCCUCUGAUCGCAUCCGGCUCCCAUGGCGGCCUAUCUCAGCUCUUGGAAGAUUUGGAUUUUGAGCACCUGCCGUCUGGUGAGGGAAGGGAGAUAAGAUCCAGAGGUGGCUGCUAGGGAUGCCAAUGGUGCGGUGUGCCGAUCGAGGAGACAUGGAGGGAGACCUUAGGUUACAGAGGUAGUACCUCGUGCUGGAACCGUCCCUCAUGGACUCAAUUCCCACAUGGACACCAGCACCACAGCCACCAUACGCCAUCGGAGAAGCAGCAUCCUCUUGCCAUCGCUUUGUGCAGGGAAAGGGAAAGGGGAGCAAGACUGACGAAGCCAUGCCGCAGAUCUUACCCUAUCACCACCAUCGCUGUAGGUGGAGCGCCUCGCCUCCCUUCCGCGUCAGAUCCCUUCGCCUCGGCUUGAUCCCCAACCGCGCCUCUGCUGCAUCGACAUAGAUUGCCCGCGCCGUCGCAUCCUCUGCCUGUAUCCCUAGGUCGAUACUUUUUUCUUUUAUUACGAGUGAGAAGCGAGCCAGGCAGCCAGCGACAGAUCGCUCCCUCGAUCGGUA
rnacentral:lncRNA from 1 species